AUUUACGUUUAAAAAAGUGGCAACAUUGGGUGGGAGCGAUGUUUUGAUUUACUUUCGUUCAGUGCAGUAAUUAAAGCGAAAGAGAAAGUCAAAAGUGUAAAAUACUGUAAAAAUGGUGGACAAACUGGUAAAUAGUGAGGCAAAUGCUCGUCGAAUACAAAUGGUGGAGAACUGUUUCGGCAGCUCCGGACAGCCACUGUACGUUCCAGGUCGGGUCUUGGUCGGAGAAGGUGUUCUCACAAAAAUGUGCCGCAAGCGUCCAAAAGCGCGUCAAUUUUUCUUGUUCAAUGAUAUCCUGGUCUAUGGCAAUAUUGUAAUCGGAAAGAAAAAGUACAAUAAACAGCAUCUUAUACCACUGGAAGAAGUGCAACUGCAAGCCUUGGAAGACAAUGGACAUUAUAGGAACGGGUGGCUCAUACGGACGGCAACGAAAUCCUUUGCAGUUUAUGCAGCUACACAGACUGAAAAACAAGAAUGGAUGGCCCACAUAAAUAAGUGCAUUGAAGAUUUGUUACGCAAAAGUGGCAAGAAACCAGUGGAAAACCAUGCUGCAGUUUGGGUGCCUGAUAGCGAAGCUAACAUUUGCAUGCAUUGCAAGAAAACUCAGUUCACAAUGUUGAUUCGGAGGCAUCACUGCCGGAAUUGUGGUGCGGUGGUAUGCGGGCCAUGCUCCUCGAAAAAAUUCCUUCUACCAGGUCAGAGCACCAAACCGCUGCGUGUUUGUCUGGACUGUUACGACGGUCUGAGCUCAUUGAAGCGUGAAGAGAACAAAGGAAUAAAUUCUAACAACAAUAAGCCGGUUACAUCACCCGAAAGCUCGGGCGAUGAUGAUUCCGAUGAUGAAGAAGAAUCAAAAGAGGCCCACGAUCAGAGCUUUAGAAGCCACUGUAGGCCCACAGUCGCCUGUGUGUGAUAGGAAAUGACCUCGGGUAAAACCGAAGGAAAGACCAAGAAACCAUUUCGCUUCGUACGUCACGUUUUGAAACCAAAAUAACAGGAGAAUCGAAUCAAACCAAAAGUGAUACCAGUAGGAGUGUUUAUCGUAUGAUUCGUUAGGAAACCCUCACUGAUUGGUCAACAAACACACCUACACCAAAAUUCUACGGAGACGAAAAACUCGACAAAUAGCCGCAAUCAUUCUUUAGUCGUAGCCCUCCCAUAACCAAACCUGUUUUGCAAAUGUCUCACCAAUUUUGUAAAUUAGAAAAAUAUAUACAAAAAUGUGUGGAAACAGUCAUCGAUAAUAGUAUUUUAUCACUAGUUCUUGAAACCAGAAACACCCAAUUCUUCAUAAUUUUAAAUUCUGACCAAUAAAAAAUAUGUUUCUUGAUUUUAAAGAAAAACAAACGUGCUUUACACAUCCAACGUUUUAUUUCGCAUUCGGAUAUCAGCAAUCAUGCAUUGAUACUUGUGCUAUUCAUUGUCGAUAAACUUAAAAAAUACACAACAGUCUUUCAAACCUAAAUGAAGGAGCUUGCAUAUUUCUGUUGAAAAGUACAUGUAGUACAUAAAUACUUGUUUAUUUUAUAAACAUUACGCGGUCAUACAGAUGAAUCAUAUAUUCUUCAUAUAUUUUCGUUUCGUAAUUUCAAUAUUGUUGGUGAAUUGAAUAUAUGAUAGCAGUAUGUAAAAAUUGAGCUACAAGCAUAAUGGCUUAACGUAUACAAAUAGGUCAAAACUCGUGCGAUAUAUUUUCAAAUAAAAUACUAAAUAUUUUUAAAUGAAAAUUUUUUAGAGUAUGUUCCAAUAUCAAUCUUCAUCCGUAAUGUUAUUCUACUUUGCGUUAGGUUAAUGCAAUCAAGAUGUAAAUGAAUAUAUAUUUAGGCUUAUCAAUAAAGUAUAAAAUGCUCACAUUU